GGUAAUGUAGCCUAGUAGGCGGCGGGUUGUAGCCCUGAAGACAGAGGUUUUAGUCCUCUCAUCACCA
rnacentral:tRNA from 1 species